rnacentral:tRNA from 1 species
GCCUUCGUAGUGUAGUGGUCAGCACGCUCGUCGCGUAUUCGAGUGAACCAGGUUCGAGUCCCGACGAGGGCA